rnacentral:rRNA from 1 species
GAUGAACGCUGGCGGCGUGCCUAAUACAUGCCAGUCGAGCGAACAGACGAGGAGCUUGCUCCUCUGACGUUAGCGGCGGACGGGUGAGUAACACGUGGAUAACCUACCUAUAAGACUGGGAUAACUUCGGGAAACCGGAGCUAAUACCGGAUAAUAUAUUGAACCGCAUGGUUCAUUAGUGAAAGACGGUUUUGCUGUCACUUAUAGAUGGAUCCGCGCCGCAUUAGCUAGUUGGUAAGGUAACGGCUUACCAAGGCAACGAUGCGUAGCCGACCUGAGAGGGUGAUCGGCCACACUGGAACUGAGACACGGUCCAGACUCCUACGGGAGGCAGCAGUAGGGAAUCUUCCGCAAUGGGCGAAAGCCUGACGGAGCAACGCCGCGUGAGUGAUGAAGGUCUUCGGAUCGUAAAACUCUGUUAUUAGGGAAGAACAAAUGUGUAAGUAACUAUGCACGUCUUGACGGUACCUAAUCAGAAAGCCACGGCUAACUACGUG